rnacentral:tRNA from 1 species
GCUCACGUAGCUCGGUUGGCAGAGCACGUCCUUGGUAAGGACGAGGUCAGCGGUUCGAUCCCGCUCGUGAGCUCCA